GACGAACGCUGGCGGCGUGCCUAACACAUGCAAGUCGAACGGAACUGUUUUGAAAGAUUUCUUCGGAAUGAAUUUGAUUUAGUUUAGUGGCGGACGGGUGAGUAACGCGUGAGUAACCUGCCUUCAAGAGGGGGAUAACAUUCUGAAAAGAAUGCUAAUACCGCAUGACAUAUCGGAAUUACAUGAUUUUGAUAUCAAAGAUUUUAUCGCUUGAAGAUGGACUCGCGUCCGAUUAGUUAGUUGGUGAGGUAACGGCUCACCAAGACCGCGAUCGGUAGCCGGACUGAGAGGUUGAACGGCCACAUUGGGACUGAGACACGGCCCAGACUCCUACGGGAGGCAGCAGUGGGGGAUAUUGCGCAAUGGGGGCAACCCUGACGCAGCAACGCCGCGUGAAGGAUGAAGGUUUUCGGAUUGUAAACUUCUUUUAUUAAGGACGAAAAAUGACGGUACUUAAUGAAUAAGCUCCGGCUAACUACGUGCCAGCAGCCGCGGUAAUACGUAGGGAGCAAGCGUUGUCCGGAUUUACUGGGUGUAAAGGGUGCGUAGGCGGCUUUGCAAGUCAGAUGUGAAAUCUAUGGGCUCAACCCAUAAACUGCAUUUGAAACUGUAGAGCUUGAGUGAAGUAGAGGCAGGCGGAAUUCCCCGUGUAGCGGUGAAAUGCGUAGAGAUGGGGAGGAACACCAGUGGCGAAGGCGGCCUGCUGGGCUUUAACUGACGCUGAGGCACGAAAGCGUGGGUAGCAAACAGGAUUAGAUACCCUGGUAGUCCACGCUGUAAACGA
rnacentral:rRNA from 1 species